UCAAGUAACUUAUGGAUUCGGUUUCAUGUCAUAUGGUUCAAGCUUCUCCCAUCUCAUUUUAACCCAAAAAACCACUACCACUUCACCUCUAAAUAUAGUUUUCACGACUGUAUAUAAGAUAUCAUAUCAGCCUUCUUCUUCGCUCUCUAUUCAUUAUAUGGGUUUUUCAAAAUUGGCGUCUGAUCCAUAUAUUGAAAAAGUGAACGUCGGAGACCAUCCGAUUAGAACAACUCCCCACAAAAAGCCCCAACAGCAUUGGGAACAAUGGCCUUGAAGAUGACGAAGGUUCCGUAGCCUAAUCUAGAAUGAAGUAAGCAGCAAACCAUUUUUAAAAUUUUAACAUUAGAUUGUCUUCUCUUUCACUAAAAUCUGAGACCUGCUUCUCUUUGAUAUAUCUUAUCCCCCAAUCUGUAUUAUUUCAA